UACAGGGGGGGCAAGCGUUGUUCGGAAUUACUGGGCGUAAAGGGUCUGUAGGCGGCCAACUAAGUCAGACGUGAAAUCCCUCGGCUUAACCGGGGAACUGCGUCUGAUACUGGAUGGCUUGAGGUUGGGAGAGGGAUGCGGAAUUCCAGGUGUAGCGGUGAAAUGCGUAGAUAUCUGGAGGAACACCGGUGGCGAAGGCGGCAUCCUGGACCAAUUCUGACGCUGAGGAGCGAAAGCCAGGGGAGCAAACGGG
rnacentral:rRNA from 1 species